rnacentral:rRNA from 1 species
ACUGGGUAUAAUACCCGAUAGAUCUCGGAAGCUGGAAUGCACCGAGAUCGAAAGCUCCGGUGCCCAAGGAUGGGUCUGCGGCCUAUCAGGUAGUAGUGGGUGUAGCGUACCUACUAGCCUACGACGGGUACGGGUUGUGAGAGCAAGAGCCCGGAGAUGGAUUCUGAGACACGAAUCCAGGCCCUACGGGGUGCAGCAGGCGCGAAAACUUUACAAUGCCGGCAACGGCGAUAAGGGGACCUCGAGUGCCAGGUUACAAAUCUGGCUGUCGUAAUGCCUAAAAAGCAUUGCAUAGCAAGGGCCGGGCAAGACCGGUGCCAGCCGCCGCGGUAACACCGGCGGCUCGAGUGGUAACCGUUAUUAUUGGGUCUAAAGGGUCUGUAGCCGGCCGGAUAAGUCUCUUGAGAAAUCUGGCAGCUUAACUGUCAGGCUAUCAGGGGAUACUGUCUGGCUCGAGGCCGGGAGAGGUGAGAGGUACUUCAGGGGUAGGGGUGAAAUCUUGUAAUCCUUGAAGGACCACCAGUGGCGAAGGCGUCUCACCAGAACGGACCUGACGGCAAGGGACGAAAGCUAGGGGCACGAACCGGAUUAGAUACCCGGGUAGUCCUAGCCGUAAACGAUACUCGCUAGGUGUCGGCCACGGUGCGACCGUGGUCGGUGCCGUAGGGAAGCCGUGAAGCGAGCCACCUGGGAAGUACGGCCGCAAGGCUGAAACUUAAAGGAAUUGGCGGGGGAGCACCACAACGGGUGGAGCUUGCGGUUUAAUUGGAUUCAACGCCGGAAAUCUUACCGGGACCGACAGCAAGAUGAAGGCCAGGCUGAAGACUUUGCCGGAUUAGCUGAGAGGU